UUAUAUAAAAUACGUUUGUUCUCUUUCGAAAUUACUCAUUUUUUGUUUAAUUAAUUGUAUUAGUUGAAUAAAUGUAUACAAAAUAUGUGUACUGCGCAUGCCAUAAGUGUAUAAUCUAUGGCGCAUGCGUCAACUAUAAUGCCUAAACUUUCUACGCGGUUUUAAUCGUGAAAAAAAAACAAUUAUAAAUCCUGAAGGAUCGAUUAAUUGGUAUACAGUUUAAUUAAAAAAAUUAAAAAAUAAAUAAAUAAAAUAAUGUGCAUUCGCGUAAAGUUAGACCAAAUACAUUUUUUCCAUCCUCCUAUAUACCUAUCGCUAUGAAGGUAUAAAAAAGAUAGGUUAAGAGUUCACAUAGCUGGAAAACUACAUGGAGAAUUAUAUGCAAUACAAGAUAAUGAGCUCCAUUAAAUGAAUUCGAAUGAAACCAAACUGUUUACCAUCCAAAUUCGAUUGUCGGGCAGAUAGAAAACGAAAAUUCACUCAUAGUGAACCUCGGCCUGCAUUUGUGAAACGGCAAAGACUCACUAUUAUCAAGGAAAUUGAAGAGACGACUAAAAAUGAGAUGUGUCGUAUUAUUAUACCUUUGCCAUCUUGUAGUCAAGAUGUCCAGCCACUUGAAAAUAGGUGUAGUAAUGACAAAGCUAUCCAAGUAGCUCCAGCACAGUAACACAAAGGCAAGGCAAGUGUGUAUUGCCACAUCACCCCUUAAUAUAUCUGAAGCAAGUAUAAGUAAACAAUCAGAACCAGCAAAAAAAAAACUGUUGUUCCUGAGGACAAAUUUGACAGUGACGAGUCAAAUGCACCAGCAACAGAAGGAUCAACUGUUGACUAUGGGUUAUAGAAGAAGAAGAUGAAUUCAUAUUUAUUUAAAUUAAUAUUAAUGAAUAUUAAUUUAAAUUAUCGUGCAAAAUUCGUGGUCAAAACAUAUGUGUAUUUUAUAAAUAAAUAUUCAUUCUCAGCAAAAGAA